ensembl:lncRNA
GGAAAGGGUUUAUUCAGCUUACACUUCCACAUUGCUGUUCAUCACCAAAGGACAUCAGGACUGAAACUCAAGCAGGUCAAGAAGCAGGAGCUGAUCCAGGCCAGGGAUGGCACCACCCACAAUGGGCUGGGUCCUCCCACCUUGACCACUAGUUGAGAAAAUGCCUUACAGCUGGGUCUCAUGGAGGCAUUUCCACAACUGAGGCUCGUUUCUUUGUGAUAACUUCAGCUUGUGUCAAGUUGACACCUAAGACCAGCCAGUGUACACCCCUAACCUGCUGAGUCCAGUUAGUGUUGCUCAAAUGGACAUGCAUUUAGGGCUGGAUAGCCCAUCGGGGAGCUGGGCCCUGGAGACUAUGACUUCCUUUCAGCAGUCAUUAAUUGCCUAUAGCUAUCGUCUAGAGGAGAUCUUAUGAGGUCUCGCUCAUUGUUGGCACCAUUCUCAGCUGUUGUUUUUCAAGUAUUUUUUAAAAAUAAUUUUCCAUAUAUGUGUUUAUGACCACUCCCCCAGUUUCCCUCCUCCUACUCCCCUGUAUCUCAAUCACAUACCAUCGGAACUCCGUGGUUUGUUUUGUUUUUUACUAACCUACUAAGCACAGUUAGUGCUGUGCAUGACGUGCAUAGGUGUGCAGCUGUCCCUGGAACAAAGGACUCUACCACUGCAGACACCUUCCAGAAGACUCUCCCUCCCUUGGCACCUGCCAGGAAAGGGUAACUUGGAAUCUGGAGCUUAAUACUAAUUUAGUUACUCUUUUUGCCAGUAGUGUGGCUUACAAGCCUGAGCAUCUCCAGUCUUCAACACUAUUUCAGAGGUAAAACACAAGAAUGGGCCAGGAGGGCCAAAGGCAGGCUGACAGCUCUCGUCUUGACCAGUCUGUACAGUGAGUAGCCAGCGUGUGAGGAGAGACAGCUUCAAGUCGCUGUUCAGAUUUGGUUUGGUGAAGACAGAACAUGAUUGUUAUCCAGGAAAGAAGUGAAACCUCCUUUGGGAGGCUCCAGGUCAGAGGCCCUGUUCCCUCCCACUCCUGAAACAACCCUGGCCCGAGGCGUCCAGCAGGGGGCGUACCUUCCCCCCAAUUCUGUGGUGCGGUCUUGGAUUAGGUGUUGAAGAGGGAGUUGUUUGGCUGCUUCUGUUUAUAUAAAAAGGGCUAAACUUUAGUUUUCAGGCAUUUUGCUCUAUUAACACCUAAGACAUCUUUAAAAAUGCUUUCAAAUUGCCCUUUCUAGAAGCGGCUUUCAGUGAUUGUGACCUUUUAUGUAAAAAGCUAGCCAAGCUUCCAGUAAGUGUGUGUAUGUGUCCAUAUAUAUAUACAUAUAUAUACAUAUAUACUAUAUAUGACAAAGAUGCUUUAAUGGCGACUGUCUUCUAAAUUAAAAUGUUAGAAAUAAUAACGAUUUCUCUCCGGAUUGUAAUGCGAAGCACCUCUUUGCAGAACCCAUUUCUACCUGCUUUGCUCACAGUAAAACUGUGAAUCACGUAGAAUAAGAUAUAAGAUAUAUGACCUCCUAUAGGAAUAGACGGAGGAGGGGGUCUGCCCAGGAUACAAUAGAUAGACAGUUCAGCAUCUGUCCAGAAGCUCACAGUGCAGUGGUUACAAAGGAUGGACAUUAUUUCGGCAGCUAGGUUUGGCAAUUUGCUGUAAAGGAAUUUACUCACUGUGUGUUUAUGAAAUGGGAAAAAGUAAAUGCUGUACUUACAUAAUUUAUUCCCGAUUUCGUUUUUUCUCUUUGUUUUGUUUGCGGGGGGGGGGGGGGGGGGCACACGGGUUUCUCUGUGUAGCCCUCGCUGUCCUGGAACUCCCUCUGUAGACCAAACUGGCUUUGAACUUAGAGACUCACGUGCCUCUGCGACCCACUGGGAUUAAACACAUGGACCACCACCCAACUUUUCCUUUCUUUCCUUUUUUGUAAAUUUCUAAGUGGUGUUUUGUUUAUUUAUUUAUUUAGCAGACUGGUAAAACCUUGUGAUUAAAUGUCCACAAUACUUCUUAUUUAGAAAAUAUUUAUAAGGUAUGUUUAUUUUAUUUAUAUGAAUAUUUUGCCCAUCUGAAUUAAAGUCUGUUUGCUUUGUGCAUUUCUGGUGCAUGUGGAGGCCGGAAGAAGGCACUGGGUUCCCAGGACCUGGAGAGACGGACAGGGCUAUAAACCACUGUGUGGACUCUGUAAACUGAACCCUAGUUAUAAGGAAGGGCAACCAGUAAUCUUAACUACCAACCACGUCUCCAGCCUCUCAUCUACAAGAUUUUCUAAUUUCUUAUUUUCUAUGGUGCUACGUGAAUGAUAGAGCACUCUCUCAGUGGGCCACCCCUCAGGCCUUUUAAAACUUCAAUUAUUAGUUUGUAUACACUCGAGUUGUUUGAGAAAAGUCUAUUUGUUUACAUCUUAAACACUGCCUCCCUAGUCUCUCCCGGCAUCCCCCUCCCCUUUGCUGAGAGCCCGCCCACCCCCCAGUAUUCCCAGUAUUUCCCACCUCCCCUUACCACACACACACACACACAUCAAGUCUCUGCAGGGAUAGAUGUAUCUUCUCCCACUGAGGCCAGACAAAGCAGCUCUGGUGGGGAAUGGAUGCCACAGGCACUGCUUUAGGGACAGCUCCUGCUCCAGUUGUUGGGGACCCACACAGAGACUAAGCUGUAUGUUUGCUAUAUCUGGUCCAGCAGCCUCGGUCCAGCCUGUGUAUGCUGUUCAGUCGCAGUCUCUUAAGAGCUCCCAGGGGUCCAGGUUAAUUGAUUCUGUUUGUCCUUCUCUGUGAGUUCCUAUCCCCUUCAGGACCGCCAAUCCUUCCCCAACUCUUCCAUAUGAGUCCCCGACCUCUGUCCAAUAUCUGGCUGUGGGUGUCUGCUCUGCUUCAGUCAGCUCCCGGGUAGAGCCUCUCACGCAUCAUUAGAGUGUCAGGGAUUGGUGCUUGCCCAUGGGAUGGGUCUCAAGUUGAGCCAGUUAUUGGUCGGCCAUUCCUUCACUGUCUGGUCCAUCUUUGCCCCUGCAUUUCUUUUUAGACAGGACAAAAGUUGGGUGGAAAGUUUUGUGGAUGGGUUGGUGUCACUCUCUCUCACUGGGGGUCCUGCCUGGCUACAAGAGUUAAGCCUCUUCAGGUUCAAUAUUCCCCAUUAGACAUCUUGGCUACAGUCACCUGCACUAACUCCUGCGAGCCUCUCCCUAUCCCAGGUCUCGGGGACUUCCUAGAGAUUCCCCCCCACACACCCCCACUGGCUGCUGCAGGUUUCCAUUGUCUUGGCCCUCUGUUGUUUCUCUCCACACCUGAUCCUGAUCCCCACCCAUACACACACACCCAUUCCCCUCUC